AAAGAGAAGCCAACGAGCUGCAAAAUUAUUGCACAAGAGAGUCCCAGUAACAUUAUUUUAUUCGCUUUCCUUGGGCUUGGGGAUUUUCUUAUAUUCAUAAUCAUUAAUAUCAACCUUCUCUUGCAAAGCCUUUAGUUCUUCCUCCAAGUUUAUUUUUUUGGGGUUAUAUGCAUUGACAGGUCCAUACCGGGAGAGAGCUUUUCUUGUUUCUAUGAUUUCCCACUCUUGAUCAUCCUUUACUUUAGCUAUAUCCUUGCUGCCUUGCAGAAGUUGGCUAAGACCAAUAGAUCCAAGCACUGUUAGUGAGAUCAUAGGAAGUCCAUAUCUCAUAAAUGGUGAUUUCCUGCUCUUGAUCAUCCUUUACUUUAGCUAUAUCCUUGCUGCCUUGCAGAAGUUGGCUAAGACCAAUAGAUCCAAGCACUGUUAGUGAGAUCAUAGGAAGUCCAUAUCUCAUAAAUGGUGAUUUCCUGCCCAAUCUUUUGAAUGAGGAAGCUGAGUUUUGAACGCUGGCAGUAGAGGAGGCUGCUCGUUCAUUAGCUUUAUUAGGCUGACUCGUUGUAGUCUGGGUAGUUGUCAUGGAGUCAGU
rnacentral:misc_RNA from 1 species